CUUUGCCCUAGAACAAUUAGAACCUAUAAAAUACUUAUGACUGACAAGCUUUUCCUUCUUCCAGUUCACUUUCGCUAAUUAAAGCACACAUGUGCAUGAA